rnacentral:rRNA from 1 species
AAGCAGGGGAUCGCAAGACCUUGCGCUUUUGGAGCGGCCGAUGCCUGAUUAGCUUGUUGGUGAGGUAAAAGCUCACCAAGGCUCCGAUCAGUAGCUGGUCUGAGAGGACGACCAGCCACACUGGGACUGAGACACGGCCCAGACUCCUACGGGAGGCAGCAGUGGGGAAUUUUGGACAAUGGGGGCAACCCUGAUCCAGCCAUGCCGCGUGAGUGAAGAAGGCCUUCGGGUUGUAAAGCUCUUUCAGCCGGAACGAAACGGUCACGGUCAAUACCCGUGACUACUGACGGUACCGGAAAAAGAAGCACCGGCUAACUACGUGCCAGCAGCCGCGGUAAUACGUAGGGUGCGAGCGUUAAUCGGAAUUACUGGGCGUAAAGCGUGCGCAGGCGGUUUUGUAAGUCAGAUGUGAAAUCCCCGGGCUUAACCUGGGAACUGCGUUUGAAACUGCAAGGCUAGAGUGUGGCAGAGGGGGGUGGAAUUCCGCGUGUAGCAGUGAAAUGCGUAGAGAUGUGGAGGAACACCAAUGGCGAAGGCAGCCCCCUGGGUCAACACUGACGCUCAGGCACGAAAGCAUGGGAAGCAAACAGGAUUAGAUACCCUGGUAGUCCAUGCCCUAAACGAUGUCAACUAGUUGUCGGGUCUUAACGGGCUUGGUAACGUAGCUAACGCGUGAAGUUGACCGCCUGGGGAGUACGA